AAUGGCUCUAAGGGAAUCUGUGUUGUUGCUGGACACCGCUCUGGCUAAUUUGCCAUCAAAUAGCCGUCAGUCUGUAGCAGUAAACGCUGCUAAUAGUGCAGCUCCUUUGCGUUCAAUGGUGAAACUUCAUGAAGAUUUCAACAUAAUGAUUAAUCCCAGCGCGCUCAGAUUGGCUAUGUCGUACGGAAAAUCAGGAACUACGACCAAGGAAAUGGGAAAGAUGGGGGCGACUAUAAUGGAGGCUUUUUGGGAUAAGGCGUUCAUGGCUUCACACUCCCUAUCUGGUCGCAAAGCACCGAGCGAUAUGAACGACCCUAUUUAAAAAAAAUUGCCAGCAAAGCCGGCUAUUCCAGCCGAUGCAAGAAAUGCAAUCAUACAAUUCACCAUGAAAUUUUGAGAGAGCAAGCACAACAUGAGAAUUCCGGCUACCACGGUUAACCCUCUAAUAAGUCAAAAAUUACUCACCGAGCACAGCUCUGUGAAAAAAGCGUUAAACGACGACGGAUCUGCUGUGGAUGAACUAGUAGCAAAAUAAAAAAUGUCGCGUACUUAUUCCUUUUGCAGCUUGUAGAAGGAGGGAUGGAGUCCCUCUACAAGCUGCCAUUUAAUGUGCCUUAUUGUUUCCCUCAUCAACUUAGCAAUAUGUUUGCUGUUACACCCCUCUACAAGCUGCCAGUUAUGUGCCUUAUUGUUUCCCUCCAACUUAGCAAUAUAUGUUUGCUGUUACAUCCCUCUACAAACUGCCAGUUACGCGCCUUAUUGUUUCCCUCGUCAACUAAGCAAUAUGUUUGCUGUUAAACUCCAUUUUUGUCAUGCUGUAUAACCUAGUCUUUGCAUUUUAAUCUCGUCGUCAAAUACAAAGAAAUUUGAACUCA